rnacentral:rRNA from 1 species
GGGAAAGGAUGCUUGGAUGAGAGCAAGGUGGAGUUGAAGAAUGUAUUGGGAGUUUCAUCAGAGGCCCUUAGUGAGAGAUAUCUAGGACUCCCAACACUAGUUGGAAAGUCUAAAGAGGGCACCUUCAAGUAUGUAAUAGAGAGCUCGAAAGGCAAAGUAGGCGGCUGGAAGGGGCAAGGACUCUCCAAGGCUGCAAGGGAAGUGCUUAUCAAAUCGGGUCUCCAAGCUAUACCGACUUUCACAAUGAGUUGUUUUCACCUCACAAAGAAAAUGUGCCGGAAACUGACAUCGAUCUCUUCGAAUUUU